AAUUUAAGGUCUGACCUGCCCACUGAGAUUUUAAAUGGCCGCAGUAUUUUGACUGUGCAAAAGUAGCAUAAUCAUUAGUUUCUUAAUUAGAAGCUUGUAUGAAUGGUUGGACGAGAAACUAACUGUCUCAUUUUGUAAGUUAAAAUUUUAUUUUUUAGUUAAAAAGCUUAAAUAAAUUUAAAAGACGAGAAAUUUUUUUUUAGAGUUCAAAUCGAAAAAAAAGUUUGCGACCUCGAUGUUGGAUUAAAGUUAAUUUUUGGUGUAGAAGCUAGAAUAUUGGGUCUGUUCGACCUUUAAAACUUUACAUGAUCUGAGUUUAAACCGGUGUAAGCCAGGUUGGUUUCUAUCUUUAAAUAAAAUUAAUAUUUUAGUACGAAAGGAUCAAAUAUUAUUAAAAUUUAAUUUUAAUUGAAUA
rnacentral:rRNA from 1 species